UACGUAGGUGGCAAGCGUUAAUCGGAAUUACUGGGCGUAAAGCGUGCGUAGACGGUUAUUUAAGUCAGGUGUGAAAGCCCCGGGCUCAACCUGGGAAUUGCAUUUGAGACUGAAUAGCUAGGGUGCGGAAGAGGGAAGCGGAAUUUCCGGUGUAGCGGUGAAAUGCGUAGAUAUCGGAAGGAACACCAGUGGCGAAAGCGGCUUCCUGGUCCAGCACCGACGUCAGGCACGAAAGCGUGGGGAGCAAACAGG
rnacentral:rRNA from 1 species